rnacentral:pre_miRNA from 1 species
CAUGGGUUUAUGUUAUAUUCCAUCUCUUGCACACUGGACUCCAGUGCUGCUGCUGGCUGGUGUGCAGGGGGUGGAAUACAUCAUUGAAUCAUG